CCUACGGGCGGCAGCAGUGGGGUAUAUUGGACAAUGGGCGAAAGCCUGAUCCAGCCAUGCCGCGUGUGUGAAGAAGGCCUUCGGGUUGUAAAGCACUUUCAGUGGGGAAGAAAGCCUUGGGGCUAAUACCCUCGAGGAAGGACAUCACCCACAGAAGAAGCACCGGCUAACUCCGUGCCAGCAGCCGCGGUAAUACGGAGGGUGCGAGCGUUAAUCGGAAUUACUGGGCGUAAAGCGCGCGUAGGCGGUCUGAUAAGCCGGUUGUGAAAGCCCCGGGCUCAACCUGGGAACGGCAUCCGGAACUGUCAGGCUAGAGUGCAGGAGAGGAAGGUAGAAUUCCCGGUGUAGCAGUGAAAUGCGUAGAGAUCGGGAGGAAUACCAGUGGCGAAGGCGGCCUUCUGGACUGACACUGACGCUGAGGUGCGAAAGCGUGGGUAGCAAACAGGAUUAGAUACCCUUGUAGUC
rnacentral:rRNA from 1 species